rnacentral:rRNA from 1 species
GACGAACUCUGGCGGCGUGCCUAAUACAUGCAAGUAGAACGCUGAAGGAGGAGCUUGCUUCUCUGGAUUAGUUGCGAACGGGUGAGUAACGCGUAGGUAACCUGCCUGGUAGCGGGGGAUAACUAUUGGAAACGAUAGCUAAUACCGCAUAAUAGUAUAUGUUGCAUGACAUUUGCCUAAAUGGUGCAAUUGCAUCACUACCAGAUGGACCUGCGUUGUAUUAGCUAGUUGGUGGGGUAACGGCUCACCAAGGCGACGAUACAUAGCCGACCUGUAAGGGUGAGCGACCACACUGGGACGGAGCCACGGUCCAGACGACGUCGGGAGGCAGCAGGAGGGAAUCUUAGGCCACGGACCGAAGUCUGACCGCGCAACGCCGCGUGAGUGAAGAAGCGUCUCGGAUCGUAAAGCUCAGUUGUAAGAGAAGAACGAGUGUGAGAGUGGAAAGUUCACACUGUGACGGUAUUUGAUCAGAAAGGGACGGCUAACUACGUG